AGGACGAACGCUGGCGGCGUGCUUAACACAUGCAAGUGGAGCGACGAACCAGGGCUUGCCCUGGGGCAGAGCCGCGAACGGGUGAGUAACACGUGGGUUACCUGCCUCGAUGACCGGGACAACCCGAGGAAACUCGGGCUAAUACCGGAUGUGCCCGCAAGGGGAAAGGAAGCUUCGGCCUCCGCAUCGAGAUGGGCCCGCGGCCCAUUAGCUUGUUGGUGAGGUAACGGCUCACCAAGGCUUCGAUGGGUAGCUGGUCUGAGAGGACGAUCAGCCACACUGGGACUGAGACACGGCCCAGACUCCUACGGGAGGCAGCAGUGGGGAAUCUUGCGCAAUGCGCGAAAGCGUGACGCAGCAACGCCGCGUGGGGGAAGAAGGCUUUCGGGUUGUAAACCCCUUUCAGUUGGGACGAAGCUUCGUCCGGUGAAUAGCCGGAUGGAGUGACGGUACCUUCACAAGAAGCACCGGCUAACUACGCGCCAGCAGCCGCGGU
rnacentral:rRNA from 1 species